rnacentral:sRNA from 1 species
AACUCCUGGCCAGGCCCUGUCCUCCCCACGUACCCCUGCAUCCCCAGCCUCAACCCAGGGACACGCAGGGCUCACAGGAGACGGGGCUCAGGCUGCCGGAGCUCCAACCAAACUCUGUCCCACUUCACGCAUCGAUUGUCUUGGGCAAAGGUGUUCACCUUUCCGAGCCUCGGUUUCCUUAUCUGUAAAGCAGAGCGACACCAGCAAGCCUGUGAGCAUUGUGUAUGUAGCAGACAUGGAGGUCCUGCAGCAGGAGGUGCUCAAUAAACACAAAGCGAUCGAAGGAUGGGAUGUGCGAGAACCCCAGUCAUGAGCACCCAGGCUGCGACACAUGGCGGUGUGCAUGACCAACUGCCCAACGCUUAUUGUCAUGGUGGGCCUGCCCGCCAGGGGCAAGACCUACAUCUCCAAGAAGCUGACUCGAUACCUGAACUGGAUUGGUGUGCCCACUCGGGAGUUCAAUGUUGGCCAGUAUCGCCGGGACAUGGUCAAGACCUACAAAUCUUUCGAAUUUUUUCUCCCCGACAAUGAAGAGGGCCUGAAAAUCAGGAA